CAGUCGCCGCGGGAAAACGAAGGGGGCUAGCGUUGUUCGGAUUUACUGGGCGUAAAGCGCACGUAGGCGGAUCGAUCAGUCAGGGGUGAAAUCCUGGAGCUCAACUCCAGAACUGCCUUUGAUACUGUCGAUCUCGAGUCCGGAAGAGGUGAGUGGAACUCCUAGUGUAGAGGUGGAAUUCGUAGAUAUUAGGAAGAACACCAGUGGCGAAGGCGGCUCACUGGUCCGGUACUGACGCUGAGGUGCGAAAGCGUGGGGAGCAAACAGGAUUAGAUACCCCCGUAGUCCCUGUCUCUUAUAC
rnacentral:rRNA from 1 species